GACGAACGCUGGCGGCGUGCUUAACACAUGCAAGUCGAACGGAAAGGCCCUGCUUUUGUGGGGUGCUCGAGUGGCGAACGGGUGAGUAACACGUGAGUAACCUGCCUUUGACUUUGGGAUAACUUCAGGAAACUGGUGCUAAUACCGGCUAGGAGCUCCUGCUGCCGGGUGGGGUUUGGAAAGUUUCGGCGGUUGGGGAUGGACUCGCGGCUUAUCAGCUUGUUGGUGGGGUAGUGGCUUACCAAGCCUUGGAAGGAUAGGCGGCAUGAGCGGGUGGCCGGCCACAUUGGGACUGAGAUACGGCCCAGACGCCAACGUGAGGCAGCAGUGGGGAAUAUUGCACAACGGGCGGAAGCCUGAUGCAGCAACGCCGCGUGCGGGAUGACGGCUUUGGGGUUGUGAACAGCUUUCGCCUAUGACGAAGCGUGAGUGACGGUAAUGGGUAAAGAAGCACCAGCUAACUACGUG
rnacentral:rRNA from 1 species